UUGGUUUUUUUUGUUUGCCGGUGAGGAGUUGAGAAAGGGCUCACUAUGUCAUCCAUGCCAGCUCUGAGUCCAUUAUGUAGCCCAGGCUGGCUUUGAACUCAUGAUCCUCCUGCCUCAGCCUCACAACUGCCAAGAUUACAGAUGUCAACGAUGAUCCAUGAUCAUUUACUCAUUUGAAGGAAGAACCUUGAUCGAGUGACCUCUGGAGAUAAUUUCCCGACAGAGAAGGAAAGUUGACUGAAUGAAGAGUGAACUAUUAACAGAAAGGAGAAUGAAAGAAUGAUUAUGACAGCUAUGGAGGAAAAGGAUUCUCAGACCACAGAUGAGGGCCUGGUAAGGGAGAUGCAGAAGAAAUGAAUGUUUUCCUCUCA